rnacentral:rRNA from 1 species
UACAGAGGGGGCAAGCGUUGUUCGGAAUUACUGGGCGUAAAGGGCGCGUAGGCGGCCGCCUAAGUCAGACGUGAAAUCCCUCGGCUCAACCGGGGAACUGCGUCUGAUACUGGGUGGCUUGAAUCCGGGAGAGGGAUGCGGAAUUCCAGGUGUAGAGGUGAAAUGCGUAGAUAUCUGGAGGAACACCGGUGGCGAAGGCGGCAUCCUGGACCGGCAUUGACGCUGAGGCGCGAAAGCCAGGGGAGCAAACGGG